AAUUCAGGUAUUAAUGAGUGUGUUAGGAUGUGAAUUUGCACAUCCUACACAUCAUUGAGGUGGAUUUAAUUCCCUCUGAGAUCUCUGAUGACCACACUCCAGUCUGGUAGGUGGCGGUAAAUGCACCUUAAGUUGGAUGCCAGCCGCCAAUAAAAAACAAAAGAAGAAGAAGAAGAAGAAGAAGAAGAACAGGAAGAAGAGCACAC